UGGGGAAUUUUGGACAAUGGGGGAAACCCUGAUCCAGCCAUCCCGCGUGUGCGAUGAAGGCCUUCGGGUUGUAAAGCACUUUUGGCAGGAAAGAAACGUCAUGGGUUAAUACCCCGUGAAACUGACGGUACCUGCAGAAUAAGCACCGGCUAACUACGUGCCAGCAGCCGCGGUAAUACGUAGGGUGCAAGCGUUAAUCGGAAUUACUGGGCGUAAAGCGUGCGCAGGCGGUUCGGAAAGAAAGAUGUGAAAUCCCAGAGCUCAACUUUGGAACUGCAUUUUUAACUACCGGGCUAGAGUGUGUCAGAGGGAGGUGGAAUUCCGCGUGUAGCAGUGAAAUGCGUAGAUAUGCGGAGGAACACCGAUGGCGAAGGCAGCCUCCUGGGAUAACACUGACGCUAAUGCACGAAAGCGUGGGGAGCGAACAGG
rnacentral:rRNA from 1 species